UACGGAGGGGGCCAGCGUUGUUCGGAAUCAUUGGGCGUAAAGGGCGCGUAGGCGGCCGAUCAAGUCGAACGUGAAAUCUCCCGGCUCAACCGGGAACCUGCGUCCGAUACUGCUCGGCUCGAGUCCCGGAGAGGGUAGUGGAAUUCCCAGUGUAGCGGUGAAAUGCGUAGAUACUGGGAGGAACACCGGUGGCGAAGGCGGCUACCUGGACGGGUACUGACGCUGAGGCGCGAGAGCUGGGGGAGCAAACAGG
rnacentral:rRNA from 2 species